AGUCCUAUGGUCAUAGCUAGUCCUUCUUAAAGCUCUAGCCAGUGGGAAAGCGUUUGUGUUUCUAUCCUUGGAGCUCCAAGUGGGACUUCUUAAAAGAUUUAGAAGGAGCAAAGCUGUCAGGAAAUCAGAAACGUCACAUGGACUCCAUGACUGGGAAAAACCUCGUGGUGGCCUGCUCUCAGUGCUUGGAUGUGUGCUAGUUACAUCUCGGAGGUCUGAUUUUCUUAACUCUACUACGGUAAGAAGAUGCCCUCCAUCAGCAGGCCGUGUCUGCUGGGACCUCUCUGGAGACUUCCUGAACCCUGUGGAUUUACAGUAAGAUGCAGUUUCCUGGGGAGUAAUUCUGGUGGAUACAAAUUCCGGAGUAUUACACCUGGCUUGCCUGGAGAUGUUACAAGUAGCUGGAUGGAUUCUUCAGCCUGGAUGCCCACUGAAAACAAGGACCGAAACUAAGAGGAUUGUAUCUCUACCCUUGACUCAAUGAGAAUGUUUGUUGUCAUCUCUCGGGCUACCUGGAGCUCCCUCUAAAAUAGAGCCGAGUUCUGUCACCACAGACAUUGGCAGUGGCACUUGCAUGCCCCUGGCAAGCAGUCUAUCCUGAGGUGGAGGAAGUUGCCCUUGAGUUCUGGCUGGUAACCAGCACAGUAUACCCUUUAAGCGUUCCAGAAGGAUUUUGAGAUCCUUUCCUAAAUCAAAGGUGGAAUAUUUGGGGAUUUGGAAAAUUGAGAUGUGAAGCGUUGACUUAAGAGAUGCCAAGUAACUCAGCAGAUGUCACACAGACGAUAAAUAGCAAAGAUGGAAGUCUUCAUGCCGGAGGCAAUCCUAUAAGACAGCUGAGUUCUGCAGAGCUGGUAGGAGACAGACUUGCUCAGGUGAUAGAUCCAGCCAUGAUACUGACCCUAAGAGAAUGAGACGCUCUGCAGAAGACAGAAGAUUCCUGAAACUGGGAAAGGUGCCUAGAAAUCCUGAUAAGAGUGAAGAAGGGUACCUGGAGGCACAGCAGCCAUGUUGAACCUAUGAGGUGAUGAAAAACCAUGCAACUAGAAACCAGAAUGGAAGAAAAGAAGAAGCUGGAUCCUUGACUGAAUUGUCGAUGGGGGAUAGUCCAUCAUCCCAGGGCUAAGACCACCUCCAGAUUUCUUGUUUGGUGAAACAAGUCCUGAUUGUUUACAUUCCCUCGUGUUGAGCUGUCUCUUGCUUGUAGCUGAAAGCAUUUCUAAUAGAUAUUCAGAUUAUCAGCCUUAGCUCCAAGCUAGAAUACUCUAUGGGACCUUAGCUUCUCCAUGAAUUCCUUUGCUCAUCUGUGUAAUGCUCAAUAAAUGUAAAUUGAACCCUGAAUGAGGGACAAUGACA
rnacentral:lncRNA from 1 species